rnacentral:rRNA from 1 species
GAUGAACGCUGGCGGCGUGCCUAAUACAUGCAAGUCGAGCGAACGGACGAGAAGCUUGCUUCUCUGAUGUUAGCGGCGGACGGGUGAGUAACACGUGGAUAACCUACCUAUAAGACUGGGAUAACUUCGGGAAACCGUAGCUAAUACCGGAUAAUAUUUUGAACCGCAUGGUUCAAAAGUGAAAGACGGUCUUGCUGUCACUUAUAGAUGGAUCCGCGCUGCAUUAGCUAAUUGGUAAGGUAACGGCUUACCAAGGCAACGAUGCAUAGCCGACCUGAGAGGGUGAUCGGCCACACUGGAACUGAGACACGGUCCAGACUCCUACGGGAGGCAGCAGUAGGGAAUCUUCCGAAAUGGGCGAAAGCCUGACGGAGCAACGCCGCGUGAGUGAUGAAGGUCUUCGGAUCGUAAAACUCUGUUAUUAGGGAAGAACAUAUGUGUAAGUAACUGUGCACAUCUUGACGGUACCUAAUCAGAAAGCCACGGCUAACUACGUG